GCUGGGCACAGUGGUGCAAGCCCGUAAUCCCAGUAGCUUGGGAGGCUGAGAUAGGAGGAUCGCAAGUUCAAAGCCAGCCUCAGCAAGAGUAAGGUGCUAAGCAACUCAGUGAGACCCUGUCUCUA
rnacentral:sRNA from 1 species